GUUGGGUCACAGCCUAAGUUUAUCCUGAUUAUCCAUUCAUCUUUCCCGAGACAAAUUUGUCACACUCUUUCCGCCAUUAUCAGAUACAACAAUACCACAUCUCUCUUUCUCUCUCUAGAUAUCCCUCUCUCACGGUCUCUUUGUAUACUGUAUGUAUCUCCUCAUGAAUAUCUCGAGAACCCAUUUGUUUUCAAGGAGCUGUUGUGGAAAUAAAUAAAGUUUUGAGCUUUAAAUACAAGAAACAAAGAGAGAAAGAAGAAUAAGAAGAGAAAAUGGUAUUGAUGGGAGUGAGCUUAACAUGUAUAAUGGACUUGGUGGUAGCUGGGAUUUCUUUGAUGAUUGGGUUGGGCCUGUUUGUGUUCAUAGCUUCUAUUCUUUGCUCUGCUGCCUUUUUUCAGAAUGCUAAGGAUGUUUCUUGAUUACCCUUCUCAUCAGUACUAGGUGGCAUUUUAUCAAGUAGUUUCUCUUGAAUAAAUGGGUGCACAAUCUUCCUGUAUGCAUACAGUUCACCUGCUUUUUUCCAUGAGAAUUCAAAUGGGAUUACUCAGGGGCACUACAACAUAAAGUAGCUUUUUCCGUUGUACCAUCUGUGGACUGUAUAGUAACUCAAAAACGACAGCGAAUCUGCCAGAGAUGUUAGAGUCUUAGAGACGAAGCUUAAACAAGCAUUUUUGUUAUGGAUGAUAAUAUGCAUAAACAUCACUGCAUAUGAUAUGUUAGCAGUGAGAAUUAUCAUGUAGCAAUCAUGUCGAAACUUGAUCUCAUACUUAAGCUUCCUCUUUCGGGUGAAUUUCCCCUCAUGGUGAAUUACUUGCCAGGCAUUUUUAAGUUCUUAUCUGGACAUUGAGCAUAAUGCUAAACUUGUAGCUCACCCAUGUUUUCAAUGGAAACAUCCCAACUAUAUCC